AUUGAACGCUGGCGGCAUGCCUUACACAUGCAAGUCGAACGGCAGCACGGGAGCAAUCCUGGUGGCGAGUGGCGAACGGGUGAGUAAUAUAUCGGAACGUGCCCAGUCGUGGGGAUAACGUAGCGAAAGCUACGCUAAUACCGCAUACGAUCUAUGGAUGAAAGCGGGGGAUCGCAAGACCUCGCGCGAUUGGAGCGGCCGAUAUCAGAUUAGGUAGUUGGUGAGGUAAAGGCUCACCAAGCCGACGAUCUGUAGCUGGUCUGAGAGGACGACCAGCCACACUGGGACUGAGACACGGCCCAGACUCCUACGGGAGGCAGCAGUGGGGGAAUUUUGGACAAUGGGCGGCAAGCCUGAUCCAGCAAUGCCGCGUGCAGGAUGAAGGCCUC
rnacentral:rRNA from 1 species